GUAUUUUUAGACUUGUGUUAUUUAAAGAUAUAUCUUUUUAAAAAGUCAUUCCUUCAGAAAUGACUUCUGGCAUGAAGACUGCCUUGUCCCAGGAUGUGCUGCUCUGAAGAGAAAAUGGCAAAGCAAGCAGAGGGAGGCGUGUCUUCCAGACUGCUUUCCUGAGAGAGAAGUUCAACGUUAAUCAACGGGGAUCUCACUCCAUACAAAUGGAUAAAUGAUAAAUCUGAAUGCUAAUAAGCUCCAUAGAUGUUAACUUCAUGGAAGUUAUCAGAGAAAGAAAAAAAAGAA
rnacentral:lncRNA from 1 species